GGUUAAGCGACUAAGCGUACACGGUGGAUGCCCUGGCAGUCAGAGGCGAUGAAGGACGUGCUAAUCUGCGAUAAGCGUCGGUAAGGUGAUAUGAACCGUUAUAACCGGCGAUUUCCGAAUGGGGAAACCCAGUGUGAUUCGUCACACUAUCAUUAACUGAAUCCAUAGGUUAAUGAGGCGAACCGGGGGAACUGAAACAUCUAAGUACCCCGAGGAAAAGAAAUCAACCGAGAUUCCCCCAGUAGCGGCGAGCGAACGGGGAGCAGCCCAGAGCCUGAAUCAGUGUGUGUGUUAGUGGAAGCGUCUGGAAAGGCGCGCGAUACAGGGUGACAGCCCCGUACACAAAAAUGCACAUACUGUGAGCUCGAUGAGUAGGGCGGGACACGUGGUAUCCUGUCUGAAUAUGGGGGGACCAUCCUCCAAGGCUAAAUACUCCUGACUGACCGAUAGUGAACCAGUACCGUGAGGGAAAGGCGAAAAGAACCCCGGCGAGGGGAGUGAAAAAGAACCUGAAACCGUGUACGUACAAGCAGUGGGAGCACAGAGCAAUCUGUGUGACUGCGUACCUUUUGUAUAAUGGGUCAGCGACUUAUAUUCUGUAGCAAGGUUAACCGAAUAGGGGAGCCGAAGGGAAACCGAGUCUUAACUGGGCGUUAAGUUGCAGGGUAUAGACCCGAAACCCGGUGAUCUAGCCAUGGGCAGGUUGAAGGUUGGGUAACACUAACUGGAGGACCGAACCGACUAAUGUUGAAAAAUUAGCGGAUGACUUGUGGCUGGGGGUGAAAGGCCAAUCAAACCGGGAGAUAGCUGGUUCUCCCCGAAAGCUAUUUAGGUAGCGCCUCGUGAAUUCAUCUCCGGGGGUAGAGCACUGUUUCGGCAAGGGGGUCAUCCCGACUUACCAACCCGAUGCAAACUGCGAAUACCGGAGAAUGUUAUCACGGGAGACACACGGCGGGUGCUAACGUCCGUCGUGAAGAGGGAAACAACCCAGACCGCCAGCUAAGGUCCCAAAGUCAUGGUUAAGUGGGAAACGAUGUGGGAAGGCCCAGACAGCCAGGAUGUUGGCUUAGAAGCAGCCAUCAUUUAAAGAAAGCGUAAUAGCUCACUGGUCGAGUCGGCCUGCGCGGAAGAUGUAACGGGGCUAAACCAUGCACCGAAGCUGCGGCAGCGACGCUUAUGCGUUGUUGGGUAGGGGAGCGUUCUGUAAGCCUGUGAAGGUGUACUGUGAGGUAUGCUGGAGGUAUCAGAAGUGCGAAUGCUGACAUAAGUAACGAUAAAGCGGGUGAAAAGCCCGCUCGCCGGAAGACCAAGGGUUCCUGUCCAACGUUAAUCGGGGCAGGGUGAGUCGACCCCUAAGGCGAGGCCGAAAGGCGUAGUCGAUGGGAAACAGGUUAAUAUUCCUGUACUUGGUGUUACUGCGAAGGGGGGACGGAGAAGGCUAUGUUGGCCGGGCGACGGUUGUCCCGGUUUAAGCGUGUAGGCUGGUUUUCCAGGCAAAUCCGGAAAAUCAAGGCUGAGGCGUGAUGACGAGGCACUACGGUGCUGAAGCAACAAAUGCCCUGCUUCCAGGAAAAGCCUCUAAGCAUCAGGUAACAUCAAAUCGUACCCCAAACCGACACAGGUGGUCAGGUAGAGAAUACCAAGGCGCUUGAGAGAACUCGGGUGAAGGAACUAGGCAAAAUGGUGCCGUAACUUCGGGAGAAGGCACGCUGAUAUGUAGGUGAAGCGACUUGCUCGUGGAGCUGAAAUCAGUCGAAGAUACCAGCUGGCUGCAACUGUUUAUUAAAAACACAGCACUGUGCAAACACGAAAGUGGACGUAUACGGUGUGACGCCUGCCCGGUGCCGGAAGGUUAAUUGAUGGGGUUAGCGCAAGCGAAGCUCUUGAUCGAAGCCCCGGUAAACGGCGGCCGUAACUAUAACGGUCCUAAGGUAGCGAAAUUCCUUGUCGGGUAAGUUCCGACCUGCACGAAUGGCGUAAUGAUGGCCAGGCUGUCUCCACCCGAGACUCAGUGAAAUUGAACUCGCUGUGAAGAUGCAGUGUACCCGCGGCAAGACGGAAAGACCCCGUGAACCUUUACUAUAGCUUGACACUGAACAUUGAGCCUUGAUGUGUAGGAUAGGUGGGAGGCUUUGAAGUGUGGACGCCAGUCUGCAUGGAGCCGACCUUGAAAUACCACCCUUUAAUGUUUGAUGUUCUAACGUUGACCCGUAAUCCGGGUUGCGGACAGUGUCUGGUGGGUAGUUUGACUGGGGCGGUCUCCUCCUAAAGAGUAACGGAGGAGCACGAAGGUUGGCUAAUCCUGGUCGGACAUCAGGAGGUUAGUGCAAUGGCAUAAGCCAGCUUGACUGCGAGCGUGACGGCGCGAGCAGGUGCGAAAGCAGGUCAUAGUGAUCCGGUGGUUCUGAAUGGAAGGGCCAUCGCUCAACGGAUAAAAGGUACUCCGGGGAUAACAGGCUGAUACCGCCCAAGAGUUCAUAUCGACGGCGGUGUUUGGCACCUCGAUGUCGGCUCAUCACAUCCUGGGGCUGAAGUAGGUCCCAAGGGUAUGGCUGUUCGCCAUUUAAAGUGGUACGCGAGCUGGGUUUAGAACGUCGUGAGACAGUUCGGUCCCUAUCUGCCGUGGGCGCUGGAGAACUGAGGGGGGCUGCUCCUAGUACGAGAGGACCGGAGUGGACGCAUCACUGGUGUUCGGGUUGUCAUGCCAAUGGCACUGCCCGGUAGCUAAAUGCGGAAGAGAUAAGUGCUGAAAGCAUCUAAGCACGAAACUUGCCCCGAGAUGAGUUCUCCCUGACUCCUUGAGAGUCCUGAAGGAACGUUGAAGACGACGACGUUGAUAGGCCGGAUGUGUAAGCGCAGCGAUGCGUUGAGCUAACCGGUACUAAUGAACCGUGAGGCUUAACCUU
rnacentral:rRNA from 1 species